UGGGGAAUAUUGGACAAUGGGGGCAACCCUGAUCCAGCAAUGCCGCGUGUGUGAAGAAGGUCUUCGGAUUGUAAAGCACUUUCGACGGGGACGAUGAUGACGGUACCCGUAGAAGAAGCCCCGGCUAACUUCGUGCCAGCAGCCGCGGUAAUACGAAGGGGGCUAGCGUUGCUCGGAAUGACUGGGCGUAAAGGGCGUGUAGGCGGUUUACACAGUCAGAUGUGAAAUCCCCGGGCUUAACCUGGGAGCUGCAUUUGAUACGUGUAGACUAGAGUGUGAGAGAGGGUUGUGGAAUUCCCAGUGUAGAGGU
rnacentral:rRNA from 1 species